UUCAGCCAUUGCCCGCCCCCAUCCUCCAGCCCUAAUUUGUGAAGAUUGAAGACCCAGCCGAACGCCCCUUCCACUACAACCGCACAGCACACCACCGCCAUCGCCGUUGACUGCACCGCGCAUCUCCAGCACAACCGCGACCUCGCACUUCAAGUACCGCCGCGACCUCGGGCCUCCAGCUCACUGCGACCGCACAUAGCGCACCGCCGUUGCCGUCUCCCACUCCAGACUCCCAGUCGCCGGUCGCCUUCAGUCGUCCGUCGUCCGUCGCCUAGUGGCCUUCAGUCAUCGUCUGUCUUCAACCUUCGGCUGUGUCCACUUGCCUACCAGAGAAAGUGUGAUCUUAAGCAUCCCCCUGGUGAUGAGAUUUAUCGAAGUGGUACCCUUUCAAUGUUUGAGGUUGAUGGCAAAAAGAAUAAAGUUUAUGGACAGAAUCUUUGCUAUCUGGCAAAGUUAUUUCUUGACAACAAGACGCUUUACUAUGAUGUUGAAUUGUUCCUGUUUUAUGUUCUUUGUGAAUGUGAUGAUCGAGGGUGCCAUAUAGUUGGCUAUUUUUCUAAGGUGAAUGUGACUAAUUCUUAAUUAUCAUGCUACCCUCCCUUUUUUAUCAGACUGCUAGACAAAACCAGACUGACUGUUGAAAAUCUGGGGCGUUUAAAUUAUGACCUCAACAUCACGAUUGCACGGCAAUGUUAAUUUUGCAACACAAGAAGAUAUUUAGAAUUUGAAGGCUACUAUUAUAUUGUUGUAUAGAUUUUGAAUUGAUUAUUAGUACUUAGUAAAAUAUGAAUUGAUAUUGUAUUAUUACUUGAGCGUAAUGUGGAUUGAUAAUAUUUUAGAGUAAUAUAGUUUUAUAUUAAUA